AGUAUUCAUUCUGUGAUAAACUGCAAAGCUGGUCAACCUAGCAGAUGGAUGGACAGAACUACAUGUCGCUAAGAUGGAUAAAGGGAUAGCAGCAGGGAACAGAGAGAAUGACUACAGACGAUAGACAAAUACAUGGCUCUAUAGGAGGCCAGUAAGACGGCUCAACAGGUCAAGCCGUUGCUCUGUUUCUCUCUGGCUCUUUGUCUCUGUCUCUCUCUCACUCACAAACACACACUCACACCACACACACUAUAAUAAUUUUUAAAAAAUGUUUAGACAGGUGAACAGAUGAGUGGACAGACAGACAAGAUAAAAGCCAAUAGAAGUCUGAUCAGAGGGAUGUAUAGGGUCCUCGGUAAAUUGAUAGGUCUGGAGCAUAGAGCUCAUCCAAGACUCCUUUGUCUGGAGCCUGUGUCAUUCAGAAGGUCUCCUGCAUGAGUGAACGAGUGUCAGCGCAGCCAGGAAAGGCAAGGAGCACGAUGGGAACCAUGGGCAUGGGAUGACCUCCUUCUUGGCUAUUGGCCUUUCUGUAAAGGAUGCCAGAGUUGUAACCCUGCAUCCUGGGCAUUAGCAAAGAUGUAGCUCAUAGGUUUUUAAAACUGAAGUAUUUAUUAAGCACCUACACUCUGCAGUGAGUGCAGUAAACAGAUUUUUUUAAUCCCUGCUUUCUAAAGGUGGACAAGAGAAACUCCUAUUACCAACAGGUUCCUCUUGGAAUCGCCUUCCCUUGAGGCCUUCAUGGCUCUGUGUUCAGUUCUGUCUAGUUUUUCUUUUUCACAUUUUUUCCUCUCUGUCUAUACCCACUUACCCCGGGUCGUGGUUUUGUUUUUAAAAUAUUAACUAAUUGAGUCCAGAUCCCUCUCUGUAGCCCAGGCUGGCCUCAAAAUUAAGGCAAUUCUUCAGCAUCAACCUUCCUCUUACUGGGAUUACAGGCAUGAACCGAGAGGCCCAGGUUUCAGGUUUAAAUGCCAACUUCAUGUUAAUCGACCCCAAAAGUGUUUGCCCAGUUCAGGCUCUUCCUGGUUCAGUGUUCAGCUGUUGAUAGACAGCCUGCCCUCUGGCUGUGUGUGUUCCUUGACUGUUUCCGUAUGGCUGUUGUCGUAUUGUUUGUUUUGCAUUCAUCUGUUGUGCCAGGAGCUUGUGCUGUCUCAGGAACACACCACUUUUUGACAUGACCGUGAUUUGAGUACCUAAACCCCUACAAGUCUCUCUCCAGAUCAGUGUCACAGUUCCCGCCCAGCCCCCUGUUGACCUUGCUGCCUUCAGCCCACUCUCCAUCUAUCAGCCUGUGGAUUAAUAACCACUCCCCAGAGAGGCUCCAGAGGCAGCUAGACUCUCAGGCUUGCCCACUCCCGCCUAUCUAUGCCUCCUCUGCUGGCCUCCAGCUCAGUCUCAAAGUGCACUGCACACACGGUGCCCAGUCAGGGCUGGCCUCAGUGGUUCUCUAUGCCUGAAAGAUCAGCCUUCCACAGGCUGUACCUCAGAGCUCUCACACCCUCACAUUUUAGACUCUAACUUCUCGCUCUGUCCUCAGCACUGGAGACUACCUUUAUUUUCUACCCUGUUCUACUUCCUUCCUCCCCCAGCAAUUAUGAUCAUAUGGAAUAUUUUUUACUUUUUUUUUUUUAACACAAGAUCUCAUUCACUGUAGGCUGAUUUCCUUGCCUCCAACUCUCAAGAGCUGGUAUUACAGGUGUGCAUUCCCUGGCUUUUUUUGGUCUGUUUCUUCAGUAUUGGGGAUUGAAUCCAGGGCUUCAUAUAUACUAGGUAGACACUCCGUCACUAUAGUCACUAUAUUCACAGCCCUUUAUACUUUUUAAGGUAGGUGUUUAUUAUCCUUCCAGCUAAACUCCAGAAAUAUUUGCAGAUUUGUUUGCCUUAAAGAAGAUGCAUAAUGCUCAGUGGUAAAUAUAAUAAUAAUAAAGAUAGUAAAACAUUGGGGCAAUGAGAGAAUGUGGCUGCCAUUCCAGGGUUGAUGGCCUGCUGUGCUAUUCUAAAUUCCAGACUGCUUUUACUUCAGACUAGGCUGGUCUCAGAGCAAUUCUCCUUCUCCCUCUGAGAAGGAUCACCAGAAAUGCAAGUUCAUCCUCAAAGCCCUAGCUGCAGUCUCUCUUAGGACAACCCUGUGCAACUGUACAGAGUGAUGAUCUCUACUGAACAGACUCAAGCCCUCGGGAGUUUGGCUCCCACGCCUGCCUUGCACAGGCAGCUCUUCUCCAGGAGAGACAACCCACAUGGUAUAGGGUGUUCCUCAGCAGAACGAUGAGUGUGGAGAGCCUCUGGGGCCAAAUGGGGGGCACUUGACAUUGGGCCAGGACAAGGAAGUAGGCUUCAGGCACGAAUCUGAUUUUGGACUAGAACAAAGAUUUAAUUUUAACUCAU
rnacentral:lncRNA from 1 species